AACGAACGCUGGCGGCAUGCCUAACACAUGCAAGUCGAACGAGGCCUUCGGGUCUAGUGGCGCACGGGUGCGUAACGCGUGGGAACCUGCCCUUAGGUUCGGAAUAACUCCCCGAAAGGGGUGCUAAUACCGGAUAAUGUCUUCGGACCAAAGAUUUAUCGCCUUUGGAUGGGCCCGCGUUGGAUUAGCUAGUUGGUAGGGUAAAAGCCUACCAAGGCGACGAUCCAUAGCUGGUCUGAGAGGAUGAUCAGCCACACUGGGACUGAGACACGGCCCAGACCCCUAGGGGGGGCAGGAGGGGGGAAUAUUGGAAAAUGGGGGAAAGCCUGAUCCAGCAAGGCCGGGUGAGUGAUGAAGGCCUUAGGGUUGUAAAGCUCUUUUACCCGGGAGGAUAAUGACAGUACGGGGAGAAUAAGCUCCGGCUAACUCCGG
rnacentral:rRNA from 1 species